rnacentral:lncRNA from 1 species
CUCAGCAACUCUUAAUUGAACAAAAUUGAAAGAGAAGAUCACUGUAUAUAGGUACAUGACAUAACAUAAAUAUGUAAAUAAUGUAGAAUAAAGAAAUAAUAUAUUUCCAUAAAAAUCAUGUAAAAUAUAAAGAAAUAAUUCAUUUCCCAAAAAAAAUUCACUCUAAUUUGGAUCACAAACCCAAUAGCAUCCUCUUCAGCACAACAUUGGAGUGUAUAAGAUAAUGAAAAGGUUUUUGUUCAUGUGUCAAUUUUCAACAACCACGUAGAAUUUUUAUAUGCUAUGUGUAAUUUUUUGUCCAAGUGGACGAAUGGAAUUAAAAUACAGUUGUGUUACACAAUCAGAGUCAAUAAUAAUUUUUUUUUUAGACAACACUUGACAGUACAAAAAUGACUAAGCACCUAAUUACUUUUUAUUUUUGGGUGAACAAGUUAUAAUCGAACCUAUAUGUCAAUGAUUUAAUUAACUCGCUCUGCUUAACCAUCACGCGGUAAAGAAUAGCAUUUACAUUACGACUUUCCAGUAAGUAUAUUUUGGUCAAAUAUAAACACCAAAUCUAUUAGUUGAACUUAAGAAAAUUAUUUAUAAAUUGAUAUGCAAAUCUUUCCAUGUAAAAUUAUAAAGCAAAUCUUUUCUACUUGAAGUUGAAAUUGAGUCACUUAGACCGUGAUUAUAAGAAAUAAUUUUUUUGUCAAAGUUAAAAUUGAAUGAGAAAAUUAUUUUAUAAGUAAUUUUACUGUUAAAAUGAGUAGAACUAAUAUCCUAAAAUAUGUUUGAAAAUAACUCUCCCUUCUUUAUUUUUUUCAAUUGAGAGUCAAAUUCAAGUAAUUUAUUUUAACACUAAGGUCCCGUUUGGUACCCAUUUUUUUCAAAAUGCAUUUUUCUCUAUCUUCUUUUCAACAACACAUUCUUCAUUAAAAUAAUAUUAAACGUAAAUAAAAAACUUUUCUUUAUUUUUCAAUCACAUAUUUCCCACCAAUUUACUAUUUCAAAAUGCAUUUUUACAUAAAAAUAACUCCCAAACACCCUCUAAAAUAAGUCUUAUGGUUAAAAACAAGUACAUCUUCACUUAAAAGUAAUUUACUCACAUUCAUAAUGUUUGAUUUGAUAUGAUUCUUAAAGUAAGUUGGACUUAAUAAAGUACAACCGUCUGUCUUUACGGACAAAAACAAGUGAAGAUCAUGCUCUCAUUAAUGAUCAAACAUGUUUGAUUUUUAUCGAGUUAGUGUUUUUUAAAGUAAGUUGGGCUAAAAAAAUAAAAAUAAGCACAACAGCAGACGACUAGACCAAUGGGUCAAUAGGCACCCCACAUUGGGAUUGUGUUGGAGUUCACAGACAGUAAUUAGGAAAUAAUAAGGGAAUUCAUCAACACGACCCAUUAGCAUUGUUUUAAUAUUUAAAUAAUUUUAAUUAAUUUAUCAUCUUAAAUGUAAGAUUUAACCCUUGUCUAGCCCCAUUAAAAUUAUAAUUCAUUUUUCUACUCUUCUUCUCAACCACACAUUAUCCAAUAAAAUAAUAUUACACAUAAGCCAAAAAAUCCCCCCCCCCCCUUCUCAACCAUACAUUCUUCAGAAGAAAAAAAAAUAAAUAAAUAAAAAAUAAUAAUAAUAAAUAAAUACUAUUCCAAAAAUUAAAAUGGCAAAUAAUGGGAGCCAAACGAGGGCUUAAGAUCACAAAUCAAUUAAUACCACAUCAUCGCUAACCAGCAAACAUAUCCUCCAAAUAACAUUACUUCAGAGAAAAAGGAAAUCUCAGUACCUACAUUUAACAAUUUGCAGCAUUUUUUUUCCAGCAAUAAUUUAACAAAUGGCACGGUCUCAAAAUCUAUUAAUUAUGUGUGAGAAAUUGCCCUAUUGAGUGAUGGGAAGCGGACUACUCUUAAAAAUGCCAGCCAGUUUGCGACCGAAAAGGAAUCAUUGCAAAAGAAAGCCAAUCAAUAGAAUAUUGAAUAGUACAUAAUCACUGUACUGCUUGAGGGAGGCUAAAUUCAAGUCAUUCCACUUGCGAAUGUGGGAUCGAUCCUCGUUUUUCAUUUCUUUUCGUUGGAAAAUAGGUUAUAGUGCAUUUAAUUUCCAACGUCAAAAUGCAAUUAAUAAACAGCUUGAUCCCGUUUGUGUAGACUAAGGUGGUCGAUUCUCUCAAUAUUUCAAACACAUCAAGAAUGCUUCCCGUACCACCUACUGCUAAGACAUACUAGGUAAGGCACAAUAUUGCCAGAAUUCAUUGACCUGUUCCCACCUCCCCUCUUAAUUGGGCAUUUAAAUGAAAGGGGAGAACACAAAUGGAUUUUGCCCCUUGCACAGUGCAAAUUGCCAGAAUACAGUUUACAAAUGGCAGCCCUGUAUUGGCAGUUCUUUCUUCCAAUGAGAAUUAGCCAAAUGUGUAUCUGUAAACCUGGUAAAAAAUCCCCGUACACCACGCAGGGUUCAACUCAAAUAGCACAUAGGUACUUCAUGACUUAAAAAGCAUUAUUUCUCUUUCAAAUGAUCGUGUGCAAGAUGACAGGUACUAGUCUGGAAAGAUUUAUAUCAAAUAUCCACAAUCAAAUAGUCAGUUCAUCCUUGUAACUGAAGUGAAAUCAAUGCAUUUAAAAGAGAAGUGUCAAUCGACAAAAACGAACACAAAUAGGGAAAAGUUCAUACAGUUCAAAGCAUGAAGAGGACUUGAAAAAUGAACUGCUUCACACGGGGCAGCUCGUGCAACUAUAUGUCUGCUCCCAUAAACUUGUAAAGAAAUUUCGAUGAAAUGAGGAAGCAUGGUUGAAAAGCGUUAGCGUUAACAUGCAGCAGCAAUAAAAAGAUUAUGAAAUGUGAAGAUACGAGGAAUAGAAUAUGGGAAGAGGAUAUACAGAAUUCAUCUAAUACUAUAAGGUUGCUCAGGUAACCGCUCAGGAUCGACAUGAUAGUCGAUGUUCCAUCAAGCAUUAUUAAGCUUUCAAUGUGUUGAAAUGUUCAUCGUGGCAGCCUUGCUUAUUUAGUAUAAACUAUAAAAAUAUAUGACACAAAUCAUGAAAUUAAAAAGACAAUGAAGUAUCAGAUAAAGAGAAAUGAGUUAAAAAAGUAGCAAGCAAUGCCAAAUAACUUGAAAUUGACAUGAAGAUGCCCAUCGGGAAACUCUGGCAGUUAACAGUGAAGAAGAUUAUGAUGCAGGAAAUUACAGAGGCGUCAUAACAUAAAUGGGUGUUUAGAUAUUGGAAUAGAAGUAAAUUAUCCUAAUCUCUACCCAUUCACUUCCACUACAGAAUACUGGAACACAGAGAAUUUUAAAAACUGCAGGCUGCUCAGGUAACCGCUCAGAAUCGACAGCGACUGUCGAUAUUACAUCAAGCACAAUGAGCUUUCCACAAAUUCUGUAUCUCAUCAUAGCAACCAAUUUUCAACUGCACUACCUCCUCAAUAUGAUGUACUAAAUCCCUCCCGUGAAAACUAUAGAUGUCAAACGAACAAAACAACACUGCAAAGUGCAACCUAACAUUCAAGUGCUUAUAUAAUUCCAUACACUAAUACAUCAUAUAUAAUAUACCAUGGAGGAAUAAGAUAAGGCAGCUGAUGGGGAAGACGGAAUAGACAUGGAAAAUCAGUUUAAUCACCAAGCCUCAGCCAGGUGACAACUGACAAAGAGGGGAGUAUGUCCUGAGGAAACAUCAUCAAUAUAGAGAGAGCGAUAGAUUGAAGCUGCUCCUUUAGAGAUAUCACUAGAGGAGAUGAUGUUCCACAAGAGCAACAACCCUCUCUCCCUCACCCAAUUUACUUUACGCAUAGAAAUAGUGACUGCCUGGCCCAUUUCACACAUGUGCAAAGCUUAGUCACCAAACUGGUAAAAGUGCCCAUUUUCGCCUAUUAUUGGCAGUAGAUGUUAAACAUUUACAGGAUGUUCGCAUCCCAACCUUUGCGGUCAAAAUCUGUCUAGUGCCAACAGUCUUGAAAGAACAAUUCCGAGGAUAGAAAAGCAUGCCGGCGAGGUGUAAUGCAGACACUCGAGCCAGCGUUUUUAUGAUAUUAAUAAAGAAUUUAAUAAGCAAACUUAUUAAUUUUGUUUGAUCUCCUGUCCCCUCUUUGGGCAGAUGUAUUUUGCCCACCUCAUAUGACGUUGCCACUUCAGCGGGUCGAACUUCUUCUUUUUUUUUUUUACUAAUCAAAACAAAUGGCUUGACUGUUGAUGUUAUGUUUCCACGUCAGCUGCGGGCAUUCGUUAUUCUGCCCAUCAGCUCUGCCUAAUGAUGUACUAAAUACUACAUACAUAGAUAAACCAAGGAAGAAGGAAUGAAGCACUCACAAACCAAUCUAAAUAACUGAAAUUGGUUAAAAACUACCCAGAAAUCAGAAACGUUUUAUCUUAAUCGUGCCGUUUUUGGAAUGAUAUAAUCUAAUUACAGUAGAAAAGAAAGAAGAAACAAGAAUUACCUGACCGAAAUUGAGUGGGUUUGCCUUUGCAUUGGAGGGAGGAUGGUUUGGAGGGGAUAACCUUUGUUGGUGUAAGGGAUUGUUUGAGAUGUGAGCAGCUGCAUUUUUCCAUUCACUAUUGAACUGCACUCCGAGGAUUAGGGUUCCAUAACAUAUAUAGGUACAGGAGAAAGAUAAAGCCAGGCG